CACUACUAUAUAGAUGAAACAGAAUGACAGAUGUCUAUCAGGACUCUGAUGGUACCUGUCCCUUAUUUCCAGAUGAAGUCAAGGAAAGGAGGGUAGGAAAGGAACAGAAAGGAAAUGACAGGAAAUUAGUGGAGAAAUCAGGUUCAUAUAUAAUGAUGAUGAAGGAAAGGAAAUGAAAAGAAAGUGCAGAUGAAGGAGAGGAAACUAAAGGAGAGGAAACUAAAGAGAGGAAACUAAAGGAGAGGAAACUAAAGAGAGGAAACUAAAGGAGAGGAAACUAAAGGAGAGGAAACUAAAGAGAGGAAACUAAAGAGAGGAAACUAAAGGAGAGGAAACUAGAGGAGAGGAAACUAAAGGAGAGGAAACUAAAGAGAGGAAACUAAAGGAGAGGAAACUAAAGAGAGGAAACUAAAGGAGAGGAAACUAAAGGAGAGGAAACUAAAGAGAGGGAACUAAAGGAGAGGAAACUAAAGAGAGGAAACUAAAGGAGAGGAAACUAAAGAGAGGAAACUAAAGAGAGGAAACUAAAGAGAGGAAACUAAAGAGAGGAAACUAAAGGAGAGGAAACUAAAGAGAGGAAACUAAAGAGAGGAAACUAAAGGGAGUAAACUAAAGGAGAGGAAACUAAAGGAGAGGAAACUAAAGGAGAGGAAACUAAAGGAGAGGAAACUAAAGAGAGGAAACUAAAGGGAGUAAACUAAAGGGAGUAAAAUAAAGGAGAGGAAACUAAAGGAGAGGAAACUAAAGGAGAGGAAACUAAAGGGAGUAAACUAAAGGGAGUAAAAUAAAGGAGAGGAAACUAAAGAGAGGAAACUAAAGAGAGGAAACUAAAGGAGAGGAAACUAGAGGGAGUAAAAUAAAGGAGAGGAAACUAAAGAGAGGAAACUAAAGAGAGGAAACUAAAGGAGAGGAAACUAAAGAGAGGAAACUAAAGAGAGGAAACUAAAGAGAGGAAACUAAAGGAGAGGAAACUAAAGGAGAGGAAACUAAAGGAGAGGAAACUAAAGAGAGGAAACUAAAGAGAGGAAACUAAAGAGAGGAAACUAAAGGAGAGGAAACUAGAGGGAGUAAAAUAAAGGAGAUGGAACUAAAGAGAGGAAACUAAAGAGAGGAAACUAAAGGAGAGGAAACUAAAGGAGAGGAAACUAAAGGAGAGGACACUAAAGGAGAGGAAACUAAAGGAGAGGAAACUAAAGAGAGGAAACUAAAGAGAGGAAACUAAAGAGAGGAAACUAAAGGAGAGGAAACUAAAGAGAGGAAACUAAAGGAGAGGAAACUAAAGGAGAGGAAACUAAAGAGAGGAAACUAAAGAGAGGAAACUAAAGAGAGGAAACUAAAGGAGAGGAAACUAAAGAGAGGAAACUAAAGGAGAGGAAACUAAAGGAGAGGAAACUAAAGGAGAGGAAACUAAAGAGAGGAAACUAAAGAGAGGAAACUAAAGGAGAGGAAACUAAAGGAGAGGAAACUAAAGAGAGGAAACUAAAGGAGAGGAAACUAAAGGAGAGGAAACUAAAGGAGAG
rnacentral:lncRNA from 1 species